CGCGUAGGUGGUAGUGCAAGUCUGGGGUGGAAUCCCAGGGCUUAACCCUGGAACUGCCUUGGAAACUGUAUUACUUGAGUCAGUGAGGGGAGGGUAGAAUUCCUGGUGUAGCGGUGAAAUGCGUAGAUAUCAGGAGGAAGGCCUGUGGCGAAGGCGGCCCUCUGGCGCUGAACUGACACUGAGGCGCGAAAGCGUGGGGAGCAAACAGGAUUAGAUACCCUGGUAGUCCACGCCCUAAACGGUGGGUACUAGGUGUAGGGCUCGUAAGGGUUCUGUGCCGAAGCGAAAGCAUUAAGUACCCCGCCUGGGGGAGUACGGCCGCAAGGUUGAA
rnacentral:rRNA from 1 species